UUGAACGCUGGCGGCAUGCUUUACACAUGCAAGUCGAACGGUAACAGGCCUUCGGGUGCUGACGAGUGGCGAACGGGUGAGUAAUGCAUCGGAACGUACCCAGAGGUGGGGGAUAACGCAGCGAAAGCUGUGCUAAUACCGCAUGUGAUCUGAGGAUGAAAGCGGGGGACCGAGCAGCAAUGUUUGGCCUCGCGCCUUUGGAGCGGCCGAUGUCGGAUUAGCUAGUUGGUGGGGUAAAGGCCUACCAAGGCGACGAUCCGUAGCUGGUCUGAGAGGACGACCAGCCACACUGGGACUGAGACACGGCCCAGACUCCUACAGGAGGCAGCAGUGGGGAAUUUUGGACAAUGGGCGCGAGCCUGAUCCAGCAAUGCCGCGUGCGGGAAGAAGGCCUUCGGGUUGUAAACCGCUUUUGGCAGGAACGAAACGGUGUCCGCUAAUACCGGGCGCUAAUGACGGUACCUGCAGAAUAAGCACCGGCUAACUACGUG
rnacentral:rRNA from 1 species